CCCUUAGAUGUUCUGGGCCGCACGCGUGCUACACUGAGUGGAUCAGCGAGUCAGGUUGCGCGAAAGCGUUUCCUAAUCUUUAAAUCCGCUCGUGAUGGGGAUUGACGGUUGCAAUUUUCUGUCAUGAACGAGGAAUACCUUGUAAGCGCGGGUCAUCAUCCCGCGCUGAAUACGUCCCUGCCCUUUGUACACACCGCCCGUCGCUACUACCGAUUGAAUGGCUUAGUGAGCUUUCUGGACUGUUGCUUUUCGUUGGAAACUUCGUUAAGCAUACGGGAAGGAAAUCGAACUUGAUCAUUUAGAGGAAGUAAAAGUCGUAACA
rnacentral:rRNA from 1 species